rfam:Picea glauca, whole genome shotgun sequence.
AUGCCUCAUCAUCUAAUUAGUGAUGCACAUGAAUGGAUUAAUGAGAUUCCCACAAUCCCAAGCUACUAUAUAGAAAAAUCACAACCAAGAGAAUGAGCUUGGAAAAAUUAGAGGGGAAAGAAGACCCUUUUGAGUUUUUACUCUAGUCCACCUUUGUGAAAUGAAUUGAGAGGUGUAGAAUAAGUGGGAUUUGUUUUCAGUGCCAAUGAAAUACCACUACUUUUAACAUUAUUUUACUUAUUUCAUGGGGAAGAGACGAGGCAUUGCACAUAUGUUAAAAGACAAUGCACAUUUCCUCAAAGUGUUUUCAUUGAUGGAAAUGGUCUAAAGCUCAUUCUUUACACAAUUGAUUGCAAUGAGUUCAUGAAACCAAAGAGGAUCAUUGCUUUUAAGGAUGAAGAAAGUUCCUAUAACAAUCCCUAUGUUUUUAUCCAAUAUAUCCCUAUAAGUGUCUAUGU